CACAGAUACAGCACCCAGCAGAAACCAACAACCCCUGACUGGGUCUCUGUUACUGACUGGGUCUCUGUUACUGACUGGGUCUCUGUUACUGACUGGGUCUCUGUUACUGACUGGGUCUCUGUUACUGACCACUGACUGGGUCUCUGUUACUGACCACUGACUUGGUCUCUGUUACUGACCCCUGACUGGGUCUCUGUUACUGACCCCUGACUGGGUCUCUGUUACUGACCCCUGACUGGGUCUCUGUUACUGACCCCUGACUGGGUCUCUGUUACUGACCCCUGACUGGGUCUCUGUUUCUGACUGGGUCUCUGUUACUGACCCCUGACUGGGUCUCUGUUUCUGACUGGGUUUCUGUUUCUGACCCCUGACUGGAUCUCUGUUACUGACUGGGUCUCUGUUACUGUUUCUUACUCAAUUCCUUUCCUGUCACUGUAAGGAGGAGACAUAUUUGACCAGUAUGGGAAGGGUUUCACCUUGGAUAGAAAGGUGUCUCUAGGCUCUCUGGUACUCAGUAACUUAGCUUUCUCAAUGGUGUAGCUGUUUAGACAGCCAAACAGAUCAAUUAUGUGAAUGGAUUUUUUUUGUUGCAGUAGUUGCGAAGGGAGGAUCUUUGUGAUUGAACUUUUUCACUCAACCCAACAGAAGUUGUUUCCCUCUUAAGCUGUGUGUGAGAAUGGGAUCCAUAUAUUCUGUGCUGAGUGGGCCCUAGACCUAUGGAGGUGUCUGUUAUCUGGUUGGAAGACCAAACUCUACUUAUUGGACAUCAACUGCAGCCACAUGUCCCAGAGCACGUUGGUCCACAUCUACUGUACUAUGAGAGACUGGAAGAACCAUCUGAGAUUGCUAUCGAGCCUUGUGCUUCAUAAAUGGAAGGAGAAGAUGGGAUAGUGUCAGAGUGGAGGAGAAAGUUUGUCAUUUCAGUAGUGUCCAGAAGCCAGAGAGAUGUUUGACCUCUGAAGAGAGGUGGUGUAGAGGUUGUCUGUUGAUGAGGUGGUGUGGAGCUGGUAGAGGUUGUCUGUUGGUGAGGUGGUGUGGAGCUGGUAGAGGUUGUCUGUUGAUGAGGUGGUGUGGAGCUGGUAGAGGUUGUCUGUUGAUGAGGUGGUGUGGAGCUGGUAGAGGUUGUCUGUUGAUGAGGUGGUGUGGAGCUGGUAGAGGUUGUCUGUUGAUGAGGUGGUGUGGAGCUGGUAGAGGUUGUCUGUUGAUGAGGUGGUGUGGAGCUGGUAGAGGUUGUCUGUUGAUGAGGUGGUGUGGAGCUGGUAGAGGUUGUCUGUUGAUGAGGUGGUGUGGAGCUGGUAGAGGUUGUCUGUUGAUGAGGUGGUGUGGAGCUGGUAGAGGUUGUCUGUUGAUGAGGUGGUGUGGAGCUGGUAGAGGUUGUCUGUUGAUGAGGUGGUGUGGAGCUGGUAGAGGUUGUCUGUUGAUUAGGUGGUUUGGAGCUGGUAGAGGUUGUCUGUUGAUGAGGUGGUGUGGAGCUGGUAGAGGUUGUCUGUUGGUGAGGUGGUGUGGAGCUGGUAGAGGUUGUCUGUUGGUGAGAUGGUGUGGAGCUGGUAGAGGUUGUCUGUUGGUGAGGUGGUGUGGAGCUGGUAGAGGUUGUCUGUUGAUGAGGUGGUGUGGAGCUGGUAGAGGUUGUCUGUUGGUGAGGUGGUGUGGAGCUGGUAGAGGUUGUCUGUUGGUGAGGUGGUGUGGAGCUGGUAGAGGUUGUCUGUUGGUGAGAUGGUGUGGAGCUGGUAGAGGUUGUCUGUUGGUGAGAUGGUGUGGAGCUGGUAGAGGUUGUCUGUUGGUGAGAUGGUGUGGAGCUGGUAGAGGUUGUCUGUUGGUGAGGUGGUGUGGAGCUGGUAGAGGUUGUCUGUUGGUGAGGUGGUGUGGAGCUGGUAGAGGUUGUCUGUUGGUGAGAUGGUGUGGAGCUGGUAGAGGUUGUCUGUUGGUGAGAUGGUGUGGAGCUGGUAGAGGUUGUCUGUUGGUGAGGUGGUGUGGAGCUGGUAGAGGUUGUCUGUUGGUGAGGUGGUGUGGAGCUGGUAGAGGUUGUCUGUUGGUGAGGUGGUGUGGAGCUGGUAGAGGUUGUCUGUUGGUGAGAUGGUGUGGAGCUGGUAGAGGUUGUCUGUUGGUGAGGUGGUGUGGAGCUGGUAGAGGUUGUCUGUUGGUGAGGUGGUGUGGAGCUGGUAGAGGUUGUCUGUUGAUGAGGUGGUGUGGAGCUGGUAGAGGUUGUCUGUUGGUGAGGUGGUGUGGAGCUGGUAGAGGUUGUCUGUUGGUGAGGUGGUGUGGAGCUGGUAGAGGUUGUCUGUUGGUGAGGUGGUGUGGAGCUGGUAGAGGUUGUCUGUUGGUGAGAUGGUGUGGAGCUGGUAGAGGUUGUCUGUUGAUGAGGUGGUGUGGAGCUGGUAGAGGUUGUCUGUUGAUGAGGUGGUGUGGAGCUGGUAGAGGUUGUCUGUUGGUGAGGUGGUGUGGAGCUGGUAGAGGUUGUCUGUUGGUGAGGUGGUGUGGAGCUGGUAGAGGUUGUCUGUUGGUGAGAUGGUGUGGAGCUGGUAGAGGUUGUCUGUUGGUGAGGUGGUGUGGAGCUGGUAGAGGUUGUCUGUUGGUGAGGUGGUGUGGAGCUGGUAGAGGUUGUCUGUUGAUGAGGUGGUGUGGAGCUGGUAGAGGUUGUCUGUUGGUGAGAUGGUGUGGAGCUGGUAGAGGUUGUCUGUUGGUGAGAUGGUGUGGAGCUGGUAGAGGUUGUCUGUUGGUGAGGUGGUGUGGAGCUGGUAGAGGUUGUCUGUUGGUGAGGUGGUGUGGAGCUGGUAGAGGUUGUCUGUUGGUGAGAUGGUGUGGAGCUGGUAGAGGUUGUCUGUUGGUGAGAUGGUGUGGAGCUGGUAGAGGUUGUCUGUUGGUGAGAUGGUGUGGAGCUGGUAGAGGUUGUCUGUUGGUGAGAUGGUGUGGAGCUGGUAGAGGUUGUCUGUUGAUGAGGUGGUGUGGAGCUGGUAGAGGUUGUCUGUUGGUGAGGUGGUGUGGAGCUGGUAGAGGUUGUCUGUUGAUGAGGUGGUGUGGAGCUGGUAGAGGUUGUCUGUUGAUGAGGUGGUGUGGAGCUGGUAGAGGUUGUCUGUUGAUUAGGUGGUUUGGAGCUGGUAGAGGUUGUCUGUUGAUGAGGUGGUGUGGAGCUGGUAGAGGUUGUCUGUUGGUGAGGUGGUGUGGAGCUGGUAGAGGUUGUCUGUUGGUGAGAUGGUGUGGAGCUGGUAGAGGUUGUCUGUUGAUGAGGUGGUGUGGAGCUGGUAGAGGUUGUCUGUUGAUGAGGUGGUGUGGAGCUGGUAGAGGUUGUCUGUUGAUGAGGUGGUGUGGAGCUGGUAGAGGUUGUCUGUUGGUGAGGUGGUGUGGAGCUGGUAGAGGUUGUCUGUUGAUGAGGUGGUGUGGAGCUGGUAGAGGUUGUCUGUUGGUGAGGUGGUGUGGAGCUGGUAGAGGUUGUCUGUUGGUGAGGUGGUGUGGAGCUGGUAGAGGUUGUCUGUUGGUGAGAUGGUGUGGAGCUGGUAGAGGUUGUCUGUUGGUGAGAUGGUGUGGAGCUGGUAGAGGUUGUCUGUUGGUGAGAUGGUGUGGAGCUGGUAGAGGUUGUCUGUUGGUGAGAUGGUGUGGAGCUGGUAGAGGUUGUCUGUUGAUGAGAUGGUGUGGAGCUGGUAGAGGUUGUCUGUUGGUGAGGUGGUGUGGAGCUGGUAGAGGUUGUCUGUUGGUGAGGUGGUGUGGAGCUGGUAGAGGUUGUCUGUUGGUGAGGUGGUGUGGAGCUGGUAGAGGUUGUCUGUUGGUGAGGUGGUGUGGAGCUGGUAGAGGUUGUCUGUUGGUGAGAUGGUGUGGAGCUGGUAGAGGUUGUCUGUUGGUGAGAUGGUGUGGAGCUGGUAGAGGUUGUCUGUUGGUGAGAUGGUGUGGAGCUGGUAGAGGUUGUCUGUUGGUGGUAGAGGUUGUCUGUUGGUGAGAUGGUGUGGAGCUGGUAGAGGUUGUCUGUUGGUGAGGUGGUGUGGAGCUGGUAGAGGUUGUCUGUUGGUGAGGUGGUGUGGAGCUGGUAGAGGUUGUCUUGAUGAGAUGAGAUGUGUUGUGACACUGAUGCCUGUGGUUUAGAGACACUCAUUAUUGUUUGACUCUAUUUUGUUAGCAGACUGGCAGUGGAUAUUAGGUGUUGUUUUGAGUUAACUUUCUUGAGAAUAAAUGCAGGAGACACUAGGAUGCCAUGAUCAUGUCCAGCAGACGUUUCAGUUUGAACAUGACAGACUAGGGUUGACCAUGCUUCUUCCAUUGUUAUUAUGGAUUCUGCUCAAAUUCUCUUAUAUUUGUAAAUGUUUACUUUUCCCUCUAAAAUGGUUCAGUUCCAUUUUUAAUUCAGUCAAUUCUGGAAAAUAAUUUACAUUUGAUUCAUAGAGUUGAAUUUCAUUACCUUCUGAAUUAAUUUAAGAUCAAAUUAAUGCCAAACCUGACAUGUACAUUUAUCCAAAGCUGGUCUUUUGGUUUACUCUGUAAUCAAUAGUGAAAGAAAAUUAGUUUACACAGGAUCAUGUUUUUUUUCUUCUACAUAAACUAUAUAUACAAAAGUAUGUGGACAACCCUUCAAAUUUGUGGAUUCGGCUAUUUCAGCCACACCUGUUGCUGACAGGUGUAUAAAGUCAAGCACAAUGCCAUGCAAUCUCCAUAGACAAACAGUCAGUAGAAUGGCCUUACUGAAGUGCUGACGUUUGUGCCACAGUCAUAGGAUGCCACCUUUCCAACAAGUCAGUUCGUCAAAUUUCUGCCCUGCUAGAGCUGCCCCGGUCAACUGUAAGUGCUGUUAUUGUGAAGUGGAAAUGUCUGGAGCAACAACGGCUCAGCCGCGUAGUGGUAGGCCACACAAACUCACAGAACGGGACUGAUGAGUGCUGAAGCGUGUAAAAGUUGUCUGUUCCCGGGUGUAACACUCACUACCAAGUUCCAAACUGCCUCUGGAAGGAACGUCAGCACAAGAACUAACCAUAACCAUCUCCAUAUUAAUGACCAUGAUUUUGGAAUGAGAUGUUUGACGAGCGGGUGUCCACAUACUUUUGGCCAUGUAGUGUCUCAUGCCACUGCUGUAAACCUGUGGGAAGACAGGACAGGAAAUGCAUGUAGCUACUGUGUGCUGUCAAAACAGCAGAGAGAAGAAACCUGUCAUUUCUGACUUGUGAACGUUCAAUCUUUUUUGCUUGUCUAGUUAUACAUUGUGGUGGUCAUCUGCAUAUAAAUAUAAUUUUAUAUAUAUAUAUUCUUUAGCUCAUACUUGCUACCGAUACCUUAGUUACAGACUGGAUGUUAACUUAUCUGAAUGUUGAAUCGAGGUUAACUUCGUCAGCCUCCAGUGUCACACCUACAGUAUGUCGCAUGAAACUGGCAUUUUAGUCAAAACUAUGCUGAUUUGUCCUUUUAAUAUAACGCUUUCACACUGAUUUCUAAUGUUAAGUGAUAAGUCUUUACUCCCUUGGCAGAUUGUUUUGUUCAUCUGACUCACUUUCAUUUCAUUUCAAUACGGUGGUAGAAUAUGAGCAAUAAAAGGUCUUUCCCAGUUUGCUUGUAUACUGUAGAACCAUUCCUUAAGUGCUGACAAAUGUGUGUUGUACUUUCAGUGUUUACGGAUGUUAUUUUGGAAUUUGAGCUGUACUUUUUGACUGCCGUUAAUAAAAGUCCAUUUUAUGCAAAAGUUGAA